UGAGGAAUAUUGGUCAAUGGGCGAGAGCCUGAACCAGCCAAGUAGCGUGCAGGAUGACGGCCCUAUGGGUUGUAAACUGCUUUUAUGUGGGGAUAAAGUGCGUGACGUGUCAUGCAUUGCAGGUACCACAUGAAUAAGGACCGGCUAAUUCCGUGCCAGCAGCCGCGGUAAUACGGAAGGUCCGGGCGUUAUCCGGAUGUAUUGGGUUUAAAGGGAGCGUAGGCUGUCUAUUAAGCGUGUUGAGAAAUAUACCGGCUCAACCGGUGGCUUGCAGCGCGAACUGGUCGAUUUGAGUAUGCAGGAAGUAGGCGGAAUUCAUGGUGUAGCAGUGAUAUGCUUAGAUAUCAUGACGAACUCCGAUUGAGCAGGCAGCUUACUGUAGCAUAACUGACGCUGAUGCUCGAAAGUGCGGGUAUCAAACAGG
rnacentral:rRNA from 1 species